AACGAACGCUGGCGGCGUGGAUAAGACAUGCAAGUCGAACGAGAACUUUCGUUGUAGCAAUACAGUGAAAGUUCUAGUGGCGAACGGGUGCGUAACACGUGGGCAAUCUGCCUUAAAGUGGGGGAUAGCUCGGCGAAAGCCGGAUUAAUACCGCAUGUGAUUACCGGAGAAUUCUUCGGAACAUCAAAGUCGGGGCAACCUGACGCUUUUUGAGGAGCCCGCGGCCUAUCAGCUAGUUGGUGAGGUAACGGCUCACCAAGGCGUUGACGGGUAGCUGGGCUGAGAGGACGACCAGUCACACUGGAACUGAGACACGGUCCAGACACCUACGGGUGGCAGCAGUCGAGAAUUUUUCUCAAUGGGGGAAACCCUGAAGGAGCGACGCCGCGUGGAGGAUGAAGGUCUUCGGGUUGUAAACUCCUGUCAUUUGGGAACAAUGCUUACGUAUUAACUGUACGUGAGUUGAUAGUACCAGAAGAGGAAGAGACGGCUAACUCUGUGCCAGCCGCCGCCGUAAGAC
rnacentral:rRNA from 1 species